GACGAACGCUGGCGGCGUGCUUAACACAUGCAAGUCGAACGGAAAGGCCCGGCUUUUGUGGGGUUCUCGAUUGGCGAACGGGUGAGUAACACGUGAGUAACCUGCCCUUAACUUUGGGAUAACUUCAGGGAACUGGGGCUAAUACCGGGUAUAAUCUCCUGCUGCGUGGGGUGGGUUGGAAAGUUUCGGCGGUUGUGGAUGGACCCGCUGCUUAUCAGCUUGUUGGUGUGGUAGUGGCUUACCAAGGCUUUGACGGGUAGCCGGCCUGAGAGGGUGACCGGCCACAUGGGGACUGAGAUACGGACCAGACUCCUACGGGAGGCAGUAGUGGGGAAUAUUGCACAGUGGGCGGAAGCCUGAUGCAGCAACGCCGCGUGCGGGAUGACGGCCUUCGGGUUGUAAACCGCUUUCGCAUGUGACGAAGAGUGAGUGACGGUAAUGGGUAAAGAAGCAACGGCUAACUACGUG
rnacentral:rRNA from 1 species